rnacentral:lncRNA from 1 species
AAGUCCUGGCAUGUGGAUUUUGAAAAAACUGUAAUCAGAAUUACAUCCUUGGGUUAUGAACCACAGGUCUAGUCGUCUUCCCAGAACUCUGCAGAACUCAGCUGCUUGCUGGGGAUGUACAGCCAUGAGCUUCUUUGAACCAAGCUGGACAGUCAGAAGGCUGACAGUGCCUGAGUUGGGCUGGUGGUAAUCCUGGGCUCCCGGCCUUGAGAACCUGCCCUGUAUUGGAUGCUCCACGAAGCCCUCACCAGAACAGAUGCUGGCACCAUGCUUCCUGUACAGCCCACAAACUGCAAGCCAAAUAAACUUCUUU